GCAGUGGUGAUUCAGUGGUAGAAUUCUUGCCUUCCAUGCAAGAGACCUAGGUUUUAUUCCCUGCCAAUACA
rnacentral:tRNA from 1 species